GAUGAACGCUGACAGAAUGCUUAACACAUGCAAGUCAACUUGAACUUCGGUUUGGGUGGCGGACGGGUGAGUCACGCGUAAAGAACUUGCCUCACAGAUAGGGACAACAUUUGGAAACGAAUGCUAAUACCUGAUAUUAUGAUUAUAUGGCAUCGUAUAAUUAUGAAAGCUAUCUGCGCUGUGAGAGAGCUUUGCGUCCCAUUAGCUAGUUGGAGAGGUAACGGCUCACCAAGGCGAUGAUGGGUAGCCGGCCUGAGAGGGUGAUCGGCCACAAGGGGACUGAGACACGGCCCCUACUCCUACGGGAGGCAGCAGUGGGGAAUAUUGGACAAUGGACCAAGAGUCUGAUCCAGCAAUUCUGUGUGCACGAUGAAGUUUUUCGGAAUGUAAAGUGCUUUCAGUUGGGAAGAAAAAAAUGACGGUACCAACAGAAGAAGUGACGGCUAAAUACGUG
rnacentral:rRNA from 1 species